CGGGGGGAGCAAGCGUUGUUCGGAUUUACUGGGCGUAAAGGGCGUGUAGGCGGCCACCGCAAGUCGACUGUGAAAUCUCCGGGCUUAACUCGGAAAGGUCAGCCGAUACUGCGGGGCUAGAGUGCAGAAGGGGCAACCGGAAUUCUCGGUGUAGCGGUGAAAUGCGUAGAUAUCGAGAGGAACACCUGCGGCGAAGGCGGGUUGCUGGGCUGACACUGACGCUGAAACGCGAAAGCUAGGGGAGCGAACGGGAUUAGAUACCCCGGUAGUCCUAGCCUUAAACGAUGAAUGCUUGGUGUCUGGGGUUUUAUAGUCCCCGGGUGCCGUCGCUAACGCUUUAAGCAUUCCGCCUGGGGAGUACGGUCGCAAGACUG
rnacentral:rRNA from 1 species